AGUCCUCGCCAAUAGGACUAUAAAUAUAGAAAGCGAUUGUAAAGUUUCGCCUGCGGUUUCGUAAUGCCGACGCAAUAAAAGGAAGGGGAUUGUAUAUGUGUUCCUAUUCAAACAAUGCAAUUCCUAAAUGGUAGAAGAUGUUGCGAAGCCAGUACCGCCUGGCGAUGAAAUGGCGGACGAAUUAGCAACAAAGGGUAAGGUUUAAUCGCCGAAGUU
rnacentral:ncRNA from 1 species